AGGACGAACGCUGGCGGCGUGCUUAACACAUGCAAGUCGAGCGGUAAGGCCUUUCGGGGUACACGAGCGGCGAACGGGUGAGUAACACGUGAGUAAUCUGCCCAUCGCUUCAGGAUAGCCAUCGGAAACGGUGAUUAAUACUGGAUAUGACAUUCCUUCGCAGUGGUUGGGGUGUGGUAAAGUUUUUCGGCGGUGGAUGUGCUCGCGGCCUAUCGAGCGUUGUUGGGUAGGGUAAUGGACCUACCAAGGUCUUUGGAC
rnacentral:rRNA from 1 species